rnacentral:rRNA from 1 species
UACGAAGGGGGCUAGCGUUGCUCGGAAUCACUGGGCGUAAAGCGCACGUAGGCGGACUCUUAAGUCGGUUGGUGAAAUCCUGGAGCUCAACUCCAGAACUGCCUCCGAUACUGGGAGUCUCGAGUCCGAGAGAGGUGAGUGGAACUGCGAGUGUAGAGGUGAAAUUCGUAGAUAUUCGCAAGAACACCAGUGGCGAAGGCGGCUCACUGGCCCGAUACUGACGCUGAGGCACGAAAGCGUGGGGAGCAAACAGG